rnacentral:rRNA from 1 species
AACGAACGCUGGCGGCGUGCUUAACACAUGCAAGUCGAGCGGUAAGGCCCUUCGGGGUACACGAGCGGCGAACGGGUGAGUAACACGUGGGUGAUCUGCCCUGCACUUCGGGAUAAGCCUGGGAAACUGGGUCUAAUACCGGAUAUGACCUUGGACUGCAUGGUUCUUGGUGGAAAGGUUUACUGGUGCAGGAUGGGCCCGCGGCCUAUCAGCUUGUUGGUGGGGUAAUGGCCUACCAAGGCGACGACGGGUAGCCGGCCUGAGAGGGCGACCGGCCACACUGGGACUGAGACACGGCCCAGACUCCUACGGGAGGCAGCAGUGGGGAAUAUUGCACAAUGGGCGAAAGCCUGAUGCAGCGACGCCGCGUGAGGGAUGACGGCCUUCGGGUUGUAAACCUCUCUCAGCAGGGACGAAGCGAGAGUGACGGUACCUGCAGAAAAAGCACCGGCUAACUACGUGCCAGCCGCCGCAGUAACAC